rnacentral:snRNA from 1 species
UCCGGUUAAAAUUCCGGAACCG